UCCAAUGUGGUGUAGUGGCUAACAUUGCUGUCUUUCAUUGCUGACUAUACACAGCAGCCCGGGGUUCGAUUCCCCGCAUUGGAA